rnacentral:lncRNA from 1 species
GGAACACUAUUAUCAUUGACUACAAUUACCAGACCCUAGUUUAUACAUUUCAAGAAGCAACAGCAACAGCAGCUUUCUUGGUUCUUUUCGCAGCAGGGGACUUGAUUGACUUGGGCUGUUUAGGUUUAGCAGGAGUUGUUUUCUUUGUCUUUUUAGGAGCUCCAACUUUCUUUGUUGCUCCUGCUGCUGGUUUCUUUGCAGCCUCAGCUUUGUUAACAGACCGUGUCUUUCUUGUACUAACAUUAGCAGUUUUGGGCUGUUUAGGUUUCUUGUCUCCUCCUUUUGCUGCUUUUGGAACUUUGGUUGUUCCCUUCUCUUUCUUGUUCGACUCGGAUAACUUAUAAGAAGCCCUGAUCUUGAUCAACUUCCCUCUAGCAGCAGAGUUUUU